CGUAGGGGGCUAGAGUUGUCCGGAUUUACUGGGUGUAAAGGGUGCUCAGGUGGAUUUGUAAGUCAGAGGUGAAAUCCCAAAGCUUAACUUUGGAGCUGCCUUUGAUACUGCAAGUCUUGAGUUUGAGAGAGGGUAAUGGAAUAUCUGGUGUAGCAGUGAAAUGCGUAGAUAUCAGGAGGAACACCGGUGGCGAAGGCGGGUCUCUGGGCCGUAACUGACGCUGAGGAGCGAAAGCAUGGGGAGCGAACAGG
rnacentral:rRNA from 1 species